UUCACAUUUCUUAAAUAAUUUAAUCGCAAAAAAGUGUCUUUAAAAAAUAUUUCUACAAGAAAGCAUUUUUUUUUUAAAUCAAUUAGUUUUGUUUUUUGUUGUCAUUAAAUUACAUGUCAAAACUUGCAGAGAGGAACAAAACCAUUUCAAUAUUUUUCUUCCUUUUCCUUUCACUAUAGAUGUUAAUGAAGUCCUAAACAUCUCACCUCUCCUUUUGGAUUUGCAAAGUGACCAGAACACAGGCAUAUUAUUAUUUUUGUUAAAUAAAAAAAAAGUAUAUAUGUAUACAUAACAGUGACAGAUGUAGAAAGAACGCAGCUGAAGAAAAGGAAAACAGGAGGAAUAAAGUCAUAGGAUUGGUUGAAGUGUGGUAGGGUUAGAGGAGUGGGAGGAGUGUAAACGGGGGGCGGUAUAAAGAGGAGGUAUAAAGUCAUAGGAUUGGUUGAAGUGUGGUAGGGUUAGAGGAGUGGGAGGAGUGUAAACGGGGGGCGGUAUAAAGAGGAGGUAUAAAGUCAUAGGAUUGGUUGAAGUGUGGUAGGGUUAGAGGAGUGGGAGGAGUGUAAACGGGGGGGGGCGGUAUAAAGAGGAGGUAUAAAGUCAUAGGAUUGGUUGAAGUGUGGUAGGGUUAGAGGAGUGGGAGGAGUGUAAACGGGGGGCGGUAUAAAGAGGAGGUAUAAAGUCAUAGGAUUGGUUGAAGUGUGGUAGGGUUAGAGGAGUGGGAGGAGUGUAAACGGGGGGGCGGUAUAAAGAGGAGGUAUAAAGUCAUAGGAUUGGUUGAAGUGUGGUAGGGUUAGAGGAGUGGGAGGAGUGUAAACGGGGGGGCGGUAUAAAGAGGAGGUAUAAAGUCAUAGGAUUGGUUGAAGUGUGGUAGAGUUAGAGGAGUGGGAGGAGUGUAAACGGGGGGGGGGCGAUUGGCACAGAGAGAUACUGGGGAUCUACAAUAAAUGUAUAGUCUCUUCUGAUUGGAUUACUUCAGUAGAACGUGAUAAUACCAGCACAUACACACACACACACACACACACACACAUUCCAUUCACAUGUCAGCACUAAGCAGAAAUACAGGUCAGUAAGAUCUGAUUCAACAAGAAUAUAAGAUAACAAUACGUCACAAUGUAAGGUCAUACAUAUGAAACAUCUAUUAGGAAUGUCUCCUUUAAAGGGUACAAAAUACAUUUUCAAUACAUUUUUAUUUUAUUUAUUUUUUUAUUUAAAUUUGAAAUCCAUUUACUGCUGCAUCUAAGCUCAUCACUUCACGUCCAGAUUUAGUUUGUUUUUCGACCCCCACCAGGAGCAGAACCCAAGACCAAGAGCACAGCAUGUGUAGCUCACGAAUAGUUCAACCAAGCUUUUUCCUCAUGAAUCAAACUCUGAGCUGCCAUUUUUUUCAUGAAUAUUUAGGUUUGGGAUGUUGGUAAGCGACUAUGUGAUUGCUAUUCCUAGUAUGCGUUUUAUUCUCUCUUGAUCCCAGAUAUAUCUCCCAUGUUACUGCAUCUCUAGGCAUUAUGGGAUAUACAUUUAUUUUUUUAUAAAACUGAGUGAUCUCAACGAAGUCAAUGUAUUAUCUGACUUAGCAUGUGUACCUCACUCAUCAUGGAAAAUUGAUACUCGCCAUUUGUACUUUUCAAAUGGGGCAGCAGAUAACCUAGGGGUGGCAGGUAGCCUAGUGGUUAGAGCAGGUAGCCUAGUGGUUAGAGCAGGUCGCCUAGUUGUUAGAGCAGGAAGCCUAGUGGUUAGAGCAGGUAGCCUUGUGGUUAGAGCAGGUUGCCUGGUGGUUAGAGCAGGUAGCCUAGUGGUUAGAGCAGGUAGCCUAGUGGUUAGAGCAGGUUGCCUGGUGGUUAGAGCAUGUAGCCUAGUGGUUAGAGCAUGUAGCCUAGUGGUUAGAGCAGGUAGCCUAGUGGUUAGAGCAGGUAGCCUAGUGGUUAGAGCAGGUUGCCUAGUGGUUAGAGCAGGUUGCCUAGUGGUUAGAGCAGGUAGCCUUGUGGUUAGAGCAGGUAGCCUAGUGGUUAGAGCAGGUAGCCUAGUGGUUAGAGCAGGUUGCCUAGUGGUUAGAGCAGGUAGCCUAGUGGUUAGAGCAGGUAGCCUUGUGGUUAGAGCAGGUAGCCUAGUGGUUAGAGCGUUGGGCCAGUAACUGAAAAGUUGCUGUAUUGAAUCCCCGAGUUGACGAGGUCAAAAUCUGUCAUUCUGAACAUGGCAGUUAACCCACUGUUCCCUGGUAGGCUGUCAUUGUAAAUAAGAAUGUGUUCUUUAACUGACUUGCUUAAGUUAAAUUACAUUUUAAAAAAUCACUAUAUUGUUACACCAUCUAUAACCACUGUGGUUGAUACUUUGACCCUGCUGGUCAUCUAUGAACCUUUGAACAUUUUUGAAGAAUGAUCUGGCCUUAAAGGAAGGAUUCACUCAUAUUUUUUUUUUAACGUCGUAUCGUAUUUGUGUAUCUUUGAGCGUCGCUCUAUCGAUGAGUCAUCUAAACGACUACCGCCCCGUAGCACUCACUUCCGUCAUCAUGAAGUGCUUUGAGAGACUUGUCAAGGACCAUAUCACCUCCACCCUACCUGACACCCUAGACCCACUCCAAUUUGCUUACCGCCCAAAUAGGUCCACAGACGAUGCAAUCUCAAC
ensembl:lncRNA